rnacentral:rRNA from 1 species
CCUACGGGUGGCAGCAGUGGGGAAUAUUGCGCAAUGGGCGAAAGCCUGACGCAGCGACGCCGCGUGCGGGAUGAAGGUCUUCGGAUCGUAAACCUCUGUCUGCAGGGAAGAACGGUCACUGUGCUAAUCAGCAGUGAAUUGACGGUACCUGCAAAGGAAGCACCGGCUAACUCCGUGCCAGCAGCCGCGGUAAUACGGAGGGUGCAAGCGUUAAUCGGAAUUACUGGGCGGAAAGCGUUCGUAGGCGGUAUGUCAAGUCAAAGGUGAAAUCCCCGCGCUCAACGUGGGAACUGCCUUUGAUACUGGUCAACUGGAGAGUGUGAGAGGAUGGCGGAAUUCAAGGUGUAGGAGUGAAAUGCGUAGAUAUC